CUAGCAGCGACGUUGUCAAAUAGUAUAGCAAGCCCUAACAAACCCCACACAUCAAUCGAAUUCGUAGAUCCAUGGGGUACUGAAGAUGAGAUUUCUCAAGCUGCUGGGGGAAAUGGCGCUAAAAGCGUUACAGGAACUGUCAUUUUGUUUCCCAUCGAGUUCAAUGAGGAAUAUCUUCAGAUGAGCCCGCUAUUCAUGGAAAGUGGUAAUGGUUCGGGAGAAGAGAGCAAUUAUUGGGAAACCAGUUACGGCAUCUUCCGCAAAUGGGGAAUAGAAAAAGAAGGCCUUUCUCUCAAUGAUGGCAUGAAUGCUC
rnacentral:sRNA from 2 species